rnacentral:lncRNA from 1 species
CAGGCUGUUCUCAAACUCGAAGAGAUCUGCUGCCUGCCUGUGUCUUCUGGGUGCUGGGAUGAAAGGCAUGCAGCACAACUGCCCAGCUCAAUGAAGACUUCAGUGGCAUCAAUCCCACCAGCACAGGCUCCAAGGAUCAAACUCAGGCAUGGUGGCCAUCUUGCCAACUCCUCAAACCAAAUAAAGACAGGUUCUCUCUACAAAGCCAUGGCUACCUUGGAACUCACUUCACAGACCAGGGUGGUCUUAAACUCAAGUGAUCUUCCGACCUCUGCUAUCCAAAUAAUGCCAAGAUUAAAGGUUUAGAGGGAUUUCUUUAUCGUUUGCCUUCUUCUCAAUCAUUAGGAGUUGAGGAGUACUGAAUCCAUUACUACUCUGAUGACACAGACCAAGGCGCGGACUGUCGGGAUACUACCAGUAUAACUAUGUAUGACAACAGGCCACUCAAGAGUACCAAGUGGGGACUUGGCGAGAUGCUCAGAGGGUAAAAGCACUGACUGUUCUUCCGAAGGUCCUGAGUUCAUAUACCAGCAACCACAUGGUGGCUCACAACAACCAUCUGUAAUGAGAUCUGACGCCCUCUUCUGGUGCGUCUGAAGUCAGCUACAGUAUACUUAUGUAUAAUAAUAAAUUUUGAGCCGGAGCAAGCAGGGACUGAGUGAGCAAGUGGACUUGACUGGAGCAAGUGGGACCAGAGAGUGAGCAGAGGUCUUAAAAAUUCAAUUCCCAACAAUCAUAUGAAGGCUCACAACCAUCUGUACAGCUACAGUGUACUCACAUAGGCAUGCUGGAGUCUGAGAACAACCUGUUGUUCCUACCCAGCUAUUGCUAACUUCAUCUCUGAGGGGUCUUGAGACAGGCCUCACUGUUGUAGCCUUAGCUGGUCUGGA